ACGAACGCUGGCGGCGUGCUUAACACCUGCAAGUCGAACGGAAAGGCCCUGCUUUUGUGGGGUGCUCGAGUGGCGAACGGGUGAGUAACACGUGAGUAACCUGCCCUUGACUUUGGGAUAACUUCAGGAAACUGGGGCUAAUACCGGAUAGGAGCUCCUGCUGCAUGGUGGGGGUUGGAAAGUUUCGGCGGUUGUGGAUGGACUCGCGGCUUAUCAGCUUGUUGGUGGGGUAGUGGCUUACCAAGGCUUUGACGGGUAGCCGGCCUGAGAGGGUGACCGGCCACAUUGGGACUGAGAUACGGCCCAGACUCCUACGGGAGGCAGCAGUGGGGAAUAUUGCACAAUGGGCGGAAGCCUGAUGCAGCAACGCCGCGUGCGGGAUGACGGCCUUCGGGUUGUAAACCGCUUUCGCCUGUGACGAAGCGUGAGUGACGGUAAUGGGUAAAGAAGCACCGGCUAACUACGUG
rnacentral:rRNA from 1 species